CGUACACUCCUACGGGAGGCAGCAGUGGGGAAUAUUGGACAAUGGGCGCAAGCCUGAUCCAGCCAUGCCGCGUGAGUGAUGAAGGCCCUAGGGUUGUAAAGCUCUUUCACCGGUGAAGAUAAUGACGGUAACCGGAGAAGAAGCCCCGGCUAACUUCGUGCCAGCAGCCGCGGUAAUACGAAGGGGGCUAGCGUUGUUCGGAUUUACUGGGCGUAAAGCGCACGUAGGCGGACUAUUAAGUCAGGGGUGAAAUCCCGGGGCUCAACCCCGGAACUGCCUUUGAUACUGGUAGUCUUGAGUUCGAGAGAGGUGAGUGGAAUUCCGAGUGUAGAGGUGAAAUUCGUAGAUAUUCGGAGGAACACCAGUGGCGAAGGCGGCUCACUGGCUCGAUACUGACGCUGAGGUGCGAAAGCGUGGGGAGCAAACAGGAUUAGAAACCCGGGUAGUCCCAUGA
rnacentral:rRNA from 1 species